GUAUUAACGCACCUGACCAGAAAAGGAUUAACAGAUUAGUGAAAAGAUUGACAGUUAGCAGGAGAACGUCUCAUUUCUGUGAGUUGGAAGAAUUGUGUUUUAAAAUGGGCAAUAAAUAAAAGAAGCAGGUGAACGAGGACAAACUCACCGAGGAGAGUAGUAAGAAACCCGACCUCGAAUAGACUCAAAUAUCUAUGAUGGCCUGUCACAUAAAGAAGCUUAGGAUCUUCGGUUGGAACACACGAAGCAUCAGUGCCAGGAGGGGAGGAAUUCCUAAAAUGUUAGAGAAAUUUGUGAUAGAAAUCUUGUACCUGGACUCUGAACCGGUGGACUUCCUUGCACUGUGACAUAUUCUGCAAAUUCAGCAGCCAACGUGUCUGAGGCGGUCCGGGACACAUCUGAAUGACCUGACGUAGAUACCUAUAAUUCGAAAUGAAAGCUAUUAAUCAAGCACAAUGAAUUAGUGAAAUUUUUCAUUUCAUCUUCCUUUAUCCGAAUAUACUAAUAUUUAAGGAACUUUUUACUAUCCGAAUAUUCUGUUAACCGAACAGGAUAUCUCCUAAUAACAGAUGCUCUUUUUCUUGUUAGGAGAAGUUUGAGAAAGAAUCUUGUAUUAUAAUUCAAAUGAAAAUGAAAUAAAAUAUCGCACAUAGGCAUAAAGUGUUAAAAAGAUUAAAUU
rnacentral:misc_RNA from 1 species